rnacentral:rRNA from 1 species
GACGAACGCUGGCGGCGUGCUUAACACAUGCAAGUCGAACGGUGAAGGGGUCUGCUUUUGUGGGCCCUGGAUGAGUGGCGAACGGGUGAGUAACACGUGAGUAACCUGCCCCCUUCUUCUGGAUAACCGCAUGAAAGUGUGGCUAAUACGGGAUAUUCUGGGUCUGUCGCAUGAUGGGUCUGGGAAAGAUUGCGCCUUUGGGGGUUUUUGGUGGGGGAUGGGCUCGCGGCCUAUCAGCUUGUUGGUGGGGUGAUGGCCUACCAAGGCGGUGACGGGUAGCCGGCCGGAGAGGGUGGACGGUCACACGGGGACGGAGAAACGGCCCAGACUCCUACGGGAGGCAGCAGUGGGGAAUAUUGCACAAUGGGCGCAAGCCUGAUGCAGCGACGCCGCGUGAGGGAUGGAGGCCUUCGGGUUGUAAACCUCUUUCGCCAGUGAAGCAGGCCUGCUCCUUGUGGGUGGGUUGACGGUAGCUGGAUAAGAAGCGCCGGCUAACUACGUG